GCUGGGUCAAAUGGUAUUUCUAGUUCUAGAUCCUUGAGGAAUCACCACACUGUCUUCCACAAUGGUUGAACUAGCUUUUAUGCAUUGCAAAGUGACUACACAAAGUGACCUAUCCCUUGUCUCCUUUAUCUCUCUAGCAACCCUCCAGUUAUUAGGGCAGCUACUACUCUCAUCUUCCAUAUAAGAAGUGGGAACACUUUCAUGGAUGUUCUGGGACUCACAGUCCAAGUCCUGGUUCUUAGAGAGUUGGAUCCAGAUCCUGUGUCUUGUAGGUAUAUAGGUAUAUGUUUAUGCAUUGAAAUGAAAUAUGUACAACUAGGUCCUUCCCCGUCUCCCCUAUAAAGCCUAUAAAGUCUUCUAUGAAACAAAGUUAAUUCCAUUCUCAGACAGAGGCUCCCAGAAUCCAGUGUUUUGGUUGGUCUCCGCUACAAAUGCUUUUUCUGAUAUUUGUGUGUUUGCAAGUCCCUCUCUGAGACUUUCUAAAAUUUGAUUGUUAAUUGGCUGUUAUAUGCAUGAAGUUCUGGACUUGGUGUCCCAAGCUCUUUAUAGAUUUACUUUUUUUCUCCCCCUCCUGCCAUUAAAUAAUCACCCUUGAGCUUCUCUCAACUUACUCUCCAUCAAUAACCAUUGUAUUCGUUCCAUUACAGCCCUCCUAAAUACAAAACAAUGACGACAACAACAAACCAUUCAAACUUCCAACCAACUUCCCCUGAAGGCACAGAAGGUGAGACCUAAGGGAAAAGAAAUCCACCCUCUUUAACAUCAGCUAACAGCAUAGGAGUAAAUGCCUGGUACAGAGCCCAGAAUUCCUAUUUCACAUUCUGAUUUGGCACUUUCACCAUAAUGGGAAAAUCUCCUCUACUUUUCCUGUGAAGCUGUUUCUUCUCCUUCUGGAAGAUAACAGCAGGAUGAUAGAGGAGGUCAAAGGAUAAAGAGAAAGGAUGCAGCCUAUUUCUUCAUUUAUUUGACCAAUAAUGUUUGAAAAUGAUGAAGUCCUUGUCCUCAAGAAACUAACAGCCUGGGGUGAAGGGUGCAGGUGGGACAGAUGUAAAAACAAUUUCAGAUGCAGACGCUACAUGUGAUUAUCAAAGUCUGUAGAGUGGCUCAUGCCUGUAAUCCCAGCACUUUAGGAGGCUAAGGCAGGCAGAUCACCUGAGGUCAGGAGUUCGAGACCAGCCUGGCCAACAUGGUAAAACCCCAUCUUUACUAAAAAUACAAAAAAAUAGCCAGGCGUGGUGGCAGUCACCUGUAAUCCCAGCUACUCGGGAGGCUGAGGCAGGAGAAUCACUUGAACCGGAGAGGCAGAGGUUGUGGUGAGCUGAGAUCGCGCCACUGCACUCCAGCCUGGGCAACAAGAGUGAGACUUCAUCUCAAAAAAAAAAAAAAAAAAAAAAAAGUCUGUAAAGAAGAGGUCAUAAAGUAGGGUAGUAGUUUUUUAAAAUAUAUAUCUUCCUUUUCUCUACUUAUCAUGCUCAUGCUUUUCUCUACUUUCUUGAAAAAAAUGGAAUGUAUUUUUUAAACUGUGUUGACUUUCUGGUCUGCUGAUUAUAUUAUUUGUCGUUUGUGGGUCUAUUUUCUAUUGAUUGAUUUGCCUACUCUACACUGGACAGGGGGAUCCAGGAAGCCUUCAUAGGAGAAAUAACCCCAAUAAGGGGAAGUGUCCUCCAGGCAGCAAAACAGCACACGAGAGUAGGGUAGAGUGCAAUAGAACAGCUCAGGGAGCCUGAGAAAUUCCGUGGCACUGGAAGCUGGGUUAUGAAGGGGAUAUGUUUAAGGGCUAAGUCUGGAGAGGCAGGCAAUGGCUCAGAUGGUGAAGAAUGUGAUCUGUCAGGUAAGCAGGCAGAACUCAUCCUAUAGAAGGUAAAGAGCCUCUGGAGCGAUCUAAAGGAGAAAGUGUCUUUUGUUUUAAAUGCUCACUAGCUGCAGAGUAGAGAAUGGAUUGAGAGAGGUGAGCCUGAAGAAAGGCCACUUAAGAAGCUAUUAUGGUGGUUAAGGUGAGAGAUGAAAGUAGCCCGGAAAAGAUCAGAUUCAAUGGGGUUGAAGAAAAGUGGAUGAAUUUGAUAGACUUUUAGAAGGGAGAAUCUAAUAUGAUAGAAAAUAUGAGGGUGAUUUCUGGCCCUUCACAGGAGAAAGAGGCUGAAAGAGAGGAACGGAGUGAGGAGAGAUUAUGAAAUGAGUUAGGAUGGGUGGGGUGUAUCCUCUGGGGUUCCCAUGCCAAAUUUCCUUCAGGUGACCAGUUUUACCUUUCUCCCUGCCACCUUCAUCCCUGCCUGGUCAUUAAGGAUGGACAUGCCACUUGUCUUUGCUGGACCUUAAUUUCCAUCCAUGAAAUGAAGGGACUGGGAUUGAGCCCUUCCCUCUUCUCCCAGGCUGGGCUGAGCUCUCCCUUCUCUGAGUCUUGCAGUAUCUGUCUCAGUCUUACACUACUAAGCUUUUGCUGCCCAGUAUCUGCAUUCUGUUUCCCCAAGAAGAGUUGAAGUUCUUGGAGGGGAGGGCACCUUAAGCCACUCGGUAUCCUCUACCAGCUGCUUGCAAAGGCUUCUUCAAACCUGAGAGGCCAGUCUUCCUGGGUAUGGAAGACUAGUCUUCAGGUUGCUUCUGGCUAUCCCCAACAUCCUUACUCUCCAGAACUUUCAGAUGCUGGGUCCAGGGCCCAUUUCACUGAGCCCUCUGCAGCUGGAAUUUAUCUUGCCCCAGAGCCCAGCUGAACAGCACUGGGGGUGGGAGAUGUAAGCUGAUGGGAGAGAAACAUGGCAGGAAUCCUGGUUCUAGGAGAGUUGGAUCCAGAUCCUGUGUCUCGUAGGGAUGUAUGUGUGUGUUUAUGUGUAUAUGUAUGCGUGCAUGUGCAGACAUAUGUGUGUGCACGUAUGACACAUUGGAGUGUCUCUGUGGGUUUUUUUUCUGUAUUAAGUUAUAUGUGAAGUUCCAUUGGUGUGUCUGCACUAAAUCAUGAUGCAUAAGUCAGCGCACACAUCUCAACAUCUAUACGCCCAUGACUAUUAAUGCCUGUGUAUGUGUGAGGGCCUUUGCUGGAAAAUGCAUGUGUCUGUCCACAUACCUGUUUGCAAGUGGGUGCAUAUAUGUUAUACACAUAUACGUUUGUGUGUAUAUGGGUGCCGCACUGUGUGUGUGUGUGUUUAUGUGUGUGUGUGUGUUAAGUGUUAUAUAUAAAUGGAGGCAGGAUACAGAGUCUAGUUUAGAGCAUUUGCUUCAACGUCUGGCUACCUGGGUUCAAGCCCUGAAAUCAGCAUUUAAAAGCUAUAGGCCUUUGAGUAAUUAUCUUUUUAAAGCACCGGUUUACUCGUCACUAAAUUGAAGGUAAUAAUAGUGGCUACCUUCAAUGUCUAAUGUGAGGGUGGAAUGAUAUAAUGCCCAAAAUGCACUUAAAAUAAUGCCUUAUACGUAGGGGGUGUUAAAAAAUAUUGGUUGUUACAAAGUAAUUCAUGACAAUAAAUAUGUAAGUGGCUGACUUGAGGGUCUCUGAGGCUUUCUGCAUGUGCAUCUGUGCCUUUGGGCACGUGAGGUUGAUAUGUGUGUCUGUUAGAAUGUGUGUGUUGGUGUGGAUAGACGCCUCUGGGUAUACAGGCCUGUGUGGGGGGCUAAGUGGGCAUGUGUGUUUGUGGUUUGCCUGUGAGUGCCUCUAUGUGAGUUUGUGUUCUGCCAGGAUUGGGAACAUUCAGAGAUUGUUAUUCAGACAACAUGCCCAUUUGUAGAAAACAAAAAGGUGUAAAUAGCUAGCUAGCUAGAUGAUAAUUGAGUAGGGAGGUAUGUAGACGAUAGGUAGAUAGGAGGUAGAUGAUGAUAGAUAGAUAGAUACAUACAUACAUAGAUAGAUACAUAGAUAGAUACAUGGAUAGAUAGAUGACAGGUAGCUAGACAGAUAGACAGCUGAGAUUGGCUCUAAGUGGAAUCCUAUGUACUUUCUCCUGGAAGUUAUAUUAGAGUUCAUAUGUCUCAGGGUGCUCCAAAACAUCGGCUCUGGCAGCUCUGUGAGUUAUUAUGGAGUUGCUUUGAGGGCCUUCAGAGGAAGGAAUCACAGAAUGGGAGAGCUAAGCUCCCCACCUGACAUCAACAAGAAUCUAUUUGCUUUUAAUCUCUGGUUGUCCAAGUCGAAUUGUAAAGUUUCACUACUAUAAAUUUUUGAAAAUCUUGUUACAGACCAACCCCUUUUAUUCUACAGAAGGGAGCAGCUGAGCCUCAGAGAGGGGAGAAGGUUAGAACCUGACCUCUCUUUCAGGCCUGUUUCUACCAUGCCACCUGCCUUGGGAUGUAGUAAGUAUGACUCCGCUAACUCACUGGGAAACAGAAUGCAAUUCUUCUCAGGAACCCGUCUUUUAGAGAAGCCACUAUCAUAGUGGCCCUUGGGAUGUCUGUCCAAGAAAUGACCCCAUUUGUGUCAGACCUGCCCCAUUAGGUCAGCCCCUUUGGCUAUGUGCUAGAUGGUCCCAGUCCCCUGGCCCAGACUACUGGACCCUGACCCAAGCAGCAAAAUCAAAUUCCCUGAUGCAAUUUGGAGGUGGGAUAGCAACAUGCUAACCAGUCUCUGUUGGUCCCUGAAUUAGGAAGUGAUGUGAAGCUAGAAUGUCCAUAUUUAAUCAAGGGAUGAGUGAACAGGAAAAGCUGGCUUCAGAGACAUAAAAAGA
rnacentral:lncRNA from 1 species